CGGGAGGCAGCAGUGGGGAAUAUUGCACAAUGGGCGCAAGCCUGAUGCAGCCAUGCCGCGUGUAUGAAGAAGGCCUUCGGGUUGUAAAGUACUUUCAGCGGGGAGGAAGGCGACGGGGUUAAUAACCGCGUCGAUUGACGUUACCCGCAGAAGAAGCACCGGCUAACUCCGUGCCAGCAGCCGCGGUAAUACGGAGGGUGCAAGCGUUAAUCGGAAUUACUGGGCGUAAAGCGCACGCAGGCG
rnacentral:rRNA from 1 species